UGCCCAGCAACUCCUAUCCCUACCUCCUCGUGGUACUGGCCGGGGUAACAGUAACCUUGGGGAAGAUCGGGUAACCAACCCCCGGUGGGAACUUUGGUCGUAUGCUGACAGGGAAGG
rnacentral:ribozyme from 1 species